GAACGCUGGCGGCGUGCCUAACACAUGCCAGUCGAACGUGCAAAGGGAAACCUGAGUAAAGUGGCGUACGGGUGAGUAACGCGUAGGUAAUCUACCCCAGAAUCUGGAAUAACCUGCCGAAAGGUGGGCUAAUACUGGAUAGAGCGAGGGAACUGGAAAAGGGGUUUUUGGGGAAGGGGGCCCGCCAAGGGCCUCCGUCUUGGGAGAGCCUGCGUCUCAUUAGCUAGUUGGUAAGGUAACGGCUUACCAAGGCGAUGAUGAGUAGCUGGUCUGAGAGGAUGAUCAGCCACACUGGAACUGAAACACGGUCCAGACUCCUACGGGAGGCAGCAGUGGGGAAUCUUGCGCAAUGGACGAAAGUCUGACGCAGCCACGCCGCGUGAGUGAAGAAGGCCUUCGGGUUGUAAAGCUCUGUCGGAUGGGACGAACAUCUUCAUAGUGAAUAGCUAUGAGGACUGACGGUACCAUCAAAGGAAGCACCGGCUAACUCCGUG
rnacentral:rRNA from 1 species